rnacentral:tRNA from 1 species
UCCGACCUUAGCUCAGUUGGUAGAGCGGAGGACUGUAGUUGGGGCAACACCUUCAGUUAUCCUUAGGUCGCUGGUUCGAAUCCGGCAGGUCGGAUCUUAACG